UACGAAGGGAGCUAGCGUUGUUCGGAAUUACUGGGCGUAAAGGGCGCGUAGGCGGGUUUCCAAGUCGGGGGUGAAAUUCCAGGGCUCAACCCUGGGACGGCCUUCGAUACUGGGAGCCUGGAGAUCGGGAGAGGUGAGUGGAAUUCCGAGUGUAGAGGUGAAAUUCGUAGAUAUUCGGAGGAACACCAGAAGCGAAGGCGGCUCACUGGCCCGAGUCUGACGCUGAGGCGCGAAAGCGUGGGGAGCAAACAGG
rnacentral:rRNA from 1 species